UCGGCCCGGCUCCUCGUCGCUCGUCGGAUGGAUAUAGAACCCUUAGUUCGUAUUCCUCUCCCUGUCUGCCAGGAACCCCGGGUGUGCUCUGUCUGCCGGCCUAGCUGCGCGUUACGCGCCUUACGCGCCUAUCUUGUCCAUCAUUCAUCGACAGUUUUCGCUUCUUCCGCAACAUCGUCCCGCGAGUCGCUGAGUGCUAUCCGUCAGUGUAACUGUCUCUGAACCAAGUGUCUCUGAACGGUAUCUUAGCUAUGGUGGUUGCGUGUUGGUGCUUUCCAAAGUUCGCGUCCGACAGAUGAAAACCACGUGUCUGUCGGUCCACGUGCUUGCUAGCUGACGUCCUCGCGGCAUCCUCCGGAGUGGAUCAACUCCGAGAAACCGGAAGAUAGAACUGGAUGAUAGGAGGUAGAUGAGCCAUUACGCCGAGAAGAAGAAGUUUAUCUAUGAUGGUUAUGAAGGAAAAAUCUACGAACGAGAAGGAAAGGAAAAGAAUUGAAAUACCGAAGAAAGAAAGGGAUGAAACGCACCAAGUGUAUAAAGAGUACAUUUCGAUGAGGAGUCGCGACCAAGCAGACUGCUGUGAAUGGAACACGUGUACGGUGUCACAUCUAUCUGAAAAGUUCAUCGUUACAAAGAUCUCUUGAAAAGAGUUUCCUGGAAUGUGAGCUAUCUCCGGCACGAUGGUGGCGAGUGUGUAAUCGAAGGAAUCGUAGAACACUUUUCUCAUGCAAAUACCCUCGGAUGCGAGAGAAGGGACAACGAACUUCUUCUUUGGUCUGGUUAAAACUUCGAACUUAGGUCCUUUUAAAUUUAAAUGCUUUCCCCCUACUCGAGGAACACCCGUGAGUUCCUCUUUCGAACGACAUCGUCGCCUCGAUGUCGCAGAGAUGGUAAUAAAAAAGAAAAAAGAAGAACGUCAAAGGACACGAACCUGGCCGUGGUUAAUUUUAGAAAAAUGAAUAUCGUCCUUUUAUGCGAAGGUAAAUUGAAAUUUCCAAAAUUCCACGGGCAAUCGAGUUGCACCCUUCAUUUUUUAUUCGCGUACCAUGAAAGCUCGCCUCGCGAGUACGUAAAUUAACGAAACACACCUUGUGAAUUUCAACUGGAACGCGAAAAUAUUUUCCAGAGAAGCGUGAAAAAUGAAAUCUCUCCAGCAACAAAAUGUCCAAGUAUUUCCAUAAUAUCACGGCAUUGUUUUCCAGGAUAACGUUACGCCACCGUGUAAAGGGACGUUUGUUCGGUCCGGCAAUUAUUGAAACGAAUAAAAUUUUCACUCUGUACGUAAUAAUAAGCGGACGCACGAAUAUACCGCAAUAAUUACGAAAACGUGGAACGGAAUCGUUGCGAUACAAAUGUAUGAAAAAUUAUUAUUUGCCGGGCGACGUUCAAUGAGCAGAAAAAUAUUUCCCUAUAACGAGACGCGUCGUCGACCCGGCACAGGAUACGAUCGCAAUUUGAAAUUCGAAUUAUUAUAAUUACGGUUCGGCCAGUGAAAAAUCGGAGGACAAAGAGAGGAAAGCAGUAACCAACGCCAUCCAAUGAUAUAAUUAAUAAAGAGUUACAUGGUAGAAUGCGUCUACGAGAUGAGCUUGUUAAAUCGAAAAUUUUCAUGCGCAUUAAAUUAAGAAUUGAUCGUAUGCAUUAUUACUAACACAUCCUACGAAUAUUUCCCCUGUGUCGAAUGAAAAAGAAGAAUAAAAUAAACACACUGAAUUUUCUGUA